rnacentral:rRNA from 1 species
CCUACGGGUGGCAGCAGUCGAGAAUCAUUCACAAUGGGGGAAACCCUGAUGGUGCGACGCCGCGUGGGGGACUGAAGGUCUUCGGAUUGUAAACCCCUGUCAUGUGGGAGCAAAUUAAAAAGAUAGUACCACAAGAGGUAGAGACGGCUAACUCUGUGCCAGCAGCCGCGUUAAUACAGAGGUCUCAAGCGUUGUUCGGAAUCACUUGGCGUAAAGCGUGCGUAGGCUGUUUCGUAAGUCGUGUGUGAAAGGCGCGGGCUCAACCCUCGGACGGAACAUGAUACUGCGAGAGUAGAGUAAUGGAGGGGGAGCCGGAAGACUCGGUGUAGCAGUGAAAUGCGUAGAUAUC